rnacentral:rRNA from 1 species
UACGGAGGGGGCUAGCGUUGUUCGGAAUUACUGGGCGUAAAGCGUACGUAGGCGGCUUUGUAAGUUAGAGGUGAAAGCCCGGGGCUCAACUCCGGAAUUGCCUUUAAGACUGCAUCGCUUUGAAUCAUGGAGAGGUGAGUGGAAUUCCGAGUGUAGAGGUGAAAUUCGUAGAUAUUCGGAAGAACACCAGUGGCGAAGGCGACUCACUGGUCCAUUACUGACGCUGAGGUGCGAAAGCGUGGGGAGCAAACAGG